AGAGAUGCAUUGGGCGUAAAGUGUGCGCAGGCGGUUUUUGUAAGACAGAGGUGAAAUCCCCGGGCUCAACCUGGGAACUGCCUUUGUGACUGCAAGGCUGGAGUGCGGCAGAGGGGGAUGGAAUUCCGCGUGUAGCAGUGAAAUGCGUAGAUAUGCGGAGGAACACCGAUGGCGAAGGCAAUCCCCUGGGCCUGCACUGACGCUCAUGCACGAAAGCGUGGGGAGCAAACA
rnacentral:rRNA from 1 species